UCGCAUCGUUGUUUUCUUUUUUUUUUUUUUUUCUCAUCGUGAAUGAAGUUCGCAAUUUAGAACAGGGCAGAAGAGAGAGUGCGGGAUGAGAUAUUUAAAUAUUCUGGAUAACAGCAUGAUGCUUUUUUUUUUUAAAGCAAAUAAAUAAUAUGAA
rnacentral:ribozyme from 1 species